rnacentral:lncRNA from 1 species
AAAAAAUUCAAUGGCCCUAUUGCAACGGUCAGAUUCCAACAAUCAUAUUGUAACGGUUAGAUUCUAACAACCAUAUUUGUAAUACCCAAUUUUUGCUCGGCCUAUAUUAAAACCAAAAAAAAUAAAUAACAACCCCAUAAGCCUAAUUUACAAAACCCAUUUUUGCGGCCCAACAAUCAGCAAACCACCCAAAACCCUAAAUUCCUUUCAGCCUCCGCCGC